rnacentral:rRNA from 1 species
AUUGAACGCUGGCGGCAGGCCUAACCCAUGCAAGUCGAACGAGUGGCGGACGGGUGAGUAAUGUCUGGGAAACUGCCUGAUGGAGGGGGAUAACUACUGGAAACGGUAGCUAAUACCGCAUACCAUCAGAUGUGCCCAGAUGGGAUUAGCUAGUUGGUGGGGUAACGGCUCACCCAGGCGACGAUCCCUAGCUGGUCUGAGAGGAUGACCAGCCACACGGGAACUGAGACACGGUCCAGACUCCUACGGGAGGCAUCAGUGGGGAAUAUUGCACAAUGGGCGCAAGCCGGAUGCAUCCAUGCCGCGUGUAGGAAGAAGGCCUUCGGGUUGUAAAGUACUUUCAGCGGGGAGGCGUUACCCGCAGAAGAAGCACCGGCUAACUCCGUGCCAGCAGCCGCGGUAAUUC